rnacentral:rRNA from 1 species
AUUGAACGCUGGCGGCAGGCCUAACACAUGCAAGUCGAGCGGCAGCACGGGGGCAACCCUGGUGGCGAGCGGCGAACGGGUGAGUAAUACAUCGGAACAUGCCCAGUCGUGGGGGAUAACACUUCGAAAGAAGUGCUAAUACCGCAUACGUCCUGAGGGAGAAAGCGGGGGAUCUUCGGACCUCGCGCGAUUGGAGUGGCCGAUGUCAGAUUAGCUAGUUGGUGGGGUAAAGGCCUACCAAGGCAACGAUCUGUAGCUGGUCUGAGAGGAUGAUCAGCCACACUGGGACUGAGACACGGCCCAGACUCCUACGGGAGGCAGCAGUGGGGAAUUUUGGACAAUGGGGGCAACCCUGAUCCAGCCAUUCCGCGUGAGUGAAGAAGGCCUUCGGGUUGUAAAGCUCUUUCGGCAGGAACGAAACGGCGAGCUCUAACAUAGCUUGCUAAUGACGGUACCUGAAGAAGAAGCACCGGCUAACUACGUGCCAGCCGCCGCCGUAAUAC